rnacentral:tRNA from 1 species
GGAGAAGUGGCCGAGCGGCUUAAGGCGCUUUCCUGCUAAGAAAGAGCGGUUUAACACCCGCCGUGGGUUCAAAUCCCACCUUCUCCG